rnacentral:misc_RNA from 1 species
UGAAAUUCGAUCUAAUCCUAGUGCUAGUACUAAAAUAUGUUGUCUAUAAAAUAUACAUUUUUCUUUUAAAUAAAUAUUCUAUACUUUAUUUUUAAUGUCACCUCAACCACGAGACUUAGAGGAUUGGGAACCCAUUACAAAUAGUUUGAUGCACGUAUCAUCAUCAGGAUGCAUCAGCGUUGGGGCGGAGAUCCAGAAGCAGGUCACAUUGUCCAAAGAACUAUCAGAACCUUCAACGACCAAAAACAAUGGAAUUCGUAACUCUUUGCGACAGUUACAUGAAUUUGAGCUUAUUGUACAUCGGAGGCGGAGGGAUCAAACCUCAGUUGGUAUACGCUAGGGAAGAAAAACACCUGUCAUCACAAAAACCGAACGGUCUUCGGGAAGAAAAUACACAACGAAUAUUACCAGCCGCCGAGAUUUACUUAGGAUCAUACAAUUAAACCACUAGAAUUGAUUUUAUACGUUUACCAUACCAAUAUAUUGCACGUCUCCAAUGAGGGAUGAAAUUUUAUUCUGACAAAAUGAGAAAAACGGGAAGCACUUACUUGUAAACAAACCUCUUUGUUUUUAUAAUAAUACACUUCCUAUCCGUCACUACUGUAUCGUGUCCUGUGCCCAAAGGUUAUCUUAGAAGAAAUCGCUCUUCAGCGAUAAGAUCGCCUUUGUACUUUUUUUUAGUUACUACUGUUUGUAUUUGGUAUAUUUUGGUGUACAAUAAAGAAUAUAUUAUUAUUAUUAUUAUUAUUAAUGGUAUUACAUUUUUUUUUUUCGAUAUAUGUUAUAUAUGCGUAUAAAGACUUACAAUUUCUUACUAAGUAAAUAUGUAAGAGUUCUGUGAUAAUAUAAUGCAGAAAAAAAUAACAUAUUGUUAUUAAUGUCUGUUUGUUUCAAGAUCUUGUACUUAUAAUAAUUUAUUCUUAAAAAGGUCAAAAAAAAAUUAUAUGCAAUAUGUACUGUCGAUUAUGAAAACUGUUAAGAUGGACCUCAUUCGUACCUGUAAUACGAUUAUUUGAAAUUUAUAAUAUGUAUGUUACUUACCAGAACAAGAGUAAUAGCAUUGAGACAGCUUUUGCAAUAACUUACCUGAAAAAGAAAAAAAAAUAUUAACAUUUAGUUGAUAUAAAUUUAACAAUCAUUACAAUCAGACAAAUCAAAAAUAUUAUUCCCUUAUUA